UGACAAUGUUGCUGCAGUCUGAUCAUCUCACUUACCUGACUAAGAAAUAAGAAACUCCAAACUCUGGCAGAGACUGCCACGCCUGGAUGAACCGCAUUUUGGCUUCUACCAGGGCCAUCUGGGUAACAUUUUGAUAUGCUUCCAGGAUGCGUGUGGUCAACUGUAAACCAAACGUUCAAGAGAGGAUUUACUGUAGUGCAACUGUUGUCACAAAUACAAUGGCUCCAAUGUGCCCAAGGUGGCUUUUUGAUAAAUCGUAUCUGUGUGGGAGUACACAACAUGCGCUUACUCCCUUUGUGUGUAGAAGUAUAGAGUGGUUCGAAUAUUUUCUCUGAGGAAGAAUUUACAGGUUGAAAAUGGGCUACAGAGUGCAACAUUGGCAAACAGGUUGUUUGUCUGUGCUGUAGAUCAAGAAACGGUAGUUGUCACAGAAACUCCAAAGGAGCUUACAUCACACAGUGGAAUGGACCAUGAGGAGUCAUGAUGGUUGGUUGAUUCAUAAUUGUUUGGGCAAAUCAGUAAAAAUUGCACAGGUGAAGAAUGACGGACAGCACAUUCUGAUGGUGGAGCUGCAAAGGCACUGAAAAGUCAUCUUGAAGUUUUGAAAGAGACAAUUUG